UACAGAGGUCUCAAGCGUUGUUCGGAUUCAUUGGGCGUAAAGGGUGCGUAGGUGGUGGGGUAGGUCUGGUGUGAAAUCCUGGGGCUCAACCCCGGAACUGCACUGGAUACUGCUUUGCUAGAGUACUGGAGAGGGAACUGGAAUUUACGGUGUAGCAGUGAAAUGCGUAGAUAUCGUAAGGAAGACCAGUGGCGAAGGCGAGUUCCUGGACAGUUACUGACACUGAGGCACGAAGGCCAGGGGAGCAAACGGG
rnacentral:rRNA from 1 species